rnacentral:lncRNA from 1 species
CCAAUAAGCUACAGUCAUUCCCAGCUAGGGUUUUACUUUUCUAAUGAAAUUAGCCUGUGGAUCUUUAAAAAGUAUGAAUAAAAAAGAGGACAAAAUAGUCAAUUAUGACAAAGGAGUAUAAUGAGACAAAGGUUGUUAAAUCUACUCAACAGUUGGGGCUUAAGAACCAUUUUGUUUAGGGGUACAUGGUCAUUAAGUUUUUGUCGUAUGUCGUAACUGGUCUCCCAUAGUUGUUCCUAGUUCAAUUCAAACGCACCAUCCUAAGCACACCUGUUCCUGCCCUGGAAUCCCUCAGCCAUGUUUGUCCCACAGAGCAUCACUAUCAAACAGCUCACUGUGGACUCCUCAUAGCAGAAGUACAGUAGGGGACAGCAAGUGUCAGUUCCAUCAGGACCCCUGAUAUAAUUAUUUCCUAUGGAACCAUUGUCCUGAGUCAGGAGCAUAGAUGAGGAAAGAAUGAGCGUGGCUGGCAUCGCUUCAUGAUUACAUUCUGGGAAAGAUCUUGCCUGUUAACCGCUAGAGAAGGAGGGAUGAUGCAGACAGCUACUGGUGGAGGUUGUUGUUAAACAGCGGGUCUUGCAUGCAAGCUCUACAGUUAUGCACAGUAUUUCCAUGACAUCCCAAGCCAUGAGGUCCAUGCUGCUGUAUUCCCCUGUUUAACAAGUGUGGAAACUGAUGUA